UCCGCGCAUGCAGGGGAGCUUUCGGCCCCGGCCCGCCCCGGGGGACUUCAGUGCCCCAUGCCUGGGGACCGCAGCGCCCUCUGACCCGAGACCCCGACCCCGGGGACCCCGGUGCCCCCUGCCCCGAGACCCCGGUCCCACCCCUGGGGGCCGCAGCGCCCCCUGCCCCGAGACCCCGGCCCCACCCUGAGGGACCCUGCUGCUCCACCCCUGGGGACCGCAGCUCCCCCUGCCCUGGAGACGCCGGCCCCACCCCUGGGGACCCCCGGCGCACUCUGCCCCUUGAGACGUGCGCGAGGUCCCGCGGCCCUGAGCGCGCGCGCCCCGUCCCGAAACCCGGCUCCCCUUUCUCAUCCGACCAUGAUUCAGGGAGCGGCUGCUGGCUGCCAGACCUGCCCUCGGCACCCUCCCCAGGCCCCACGACGAUGGAGGGAGGCGAUGACCCCCUACGGGGUCUCGUGGAGGCGUCCCUCUGGCCAGCGUGCUGUGAGACUCAGACGAGGUGGGGCGAUCCCUGGCCGCUGAUGGAUCGCCCAGACUGGAACCAGUGGGCCCGGGGUCCACAGCUCACCGGCCCUGCUUCCUGGGCCACUAGUGCGGGCAGGGCCAACGCUGGGUAAGCGUCGGGGAGGGUACCCCGGAAUGGGGGAGGACGAGGACUGAAGGAGCCAGUGGGCCGGGUACCUGAGUGAGUACAAUAAGGAGCGCGGAUCCCCGGGAGGGACGGGAUCAGGACGUGGGGAGGGCCCGCCUCUGGGAAGGGAAGGCAGAAGCCAUAGGUGGUCGCUGUCGGAGCUGUGAGAAGGUGAGGUCAGUGGGCUCAGGGGCCACCUGCGGCCCUCCCCCAAAUCUGUGUGCAUCCACCCCCAGAGAACGCAGCAGAGUCUGAUGGUGAGCUCCUGCUGCCACCGAGGUCGCGCCCUUUUUCAGCCUGGGUGCAGCCCCACUCAGGAAUGGUGUGCCCCCGCUCCUCCCCCAGCUCCCACCCUACGGAUACCAUUGCUCUUCUAUUUUCUGGAGUGUCCCCAGCCUUGGACCCUCAAGACAGGCAGCACCCUGGCUGGGCCCGGGGCAGGUUCACAGCUUCUCCCCUGCGGAACCUCAGCCCCGACCUGGUGGACUUCUCAGGCCCACGGAGGACUCACGCCUCUGACCCGCAGAGGGCUGCAGCUCCCGCCCAAGCCAGCCUUGCCCAGCCCAAAGCGCCAGCCACCUGCCAACUCCAACAUCUCGAUGAUUGUGUUUGGUUCCUGGUGUUUUAAAAACGGUUUAAAAUUAAUGACUAACACUUACAAAUUGAGAGUCUCUUGUAAAAAGAUUUGAAAAAUCAGAAGAUCUGGCAACACGGAGCCCGUGGUGUGCAGGGCGCCGGUCACAGGGGCUGCGAAGUGACCAGCCCCUGUGGAUGAGGCUGGACUGUGCCUCUCCCUUUAAUGCCCACUUCUGAAUGGCGCCUCCUGUCUGGUCCUUUGAGUCUCUACGAUUUGGAGCCUCAGACGGUAUCUUAGACAGUUCUCUACCCUUUCCCCCAAAGUGGUUCCAGUAAGAGGAUCUGAAUGUAGGGUAACUAACAAGAGGAGGCCAGGUGAAGGCCAGUACCAGGAGUGGGGGCACCAGAGACUAGCCCCUGGGCCUGAAGGGGUGGGGCAGGGAUGGAGAGGGCUGGAGGAGUGGAGAUGGGGUCACCCGGUGGGAGCUGUGAUUGUGGGGGAGGAGUGUGACUACCCCGCCACUCUCCCCCACCCCAUCCUGUCAGCACUGUCCACUGGCCAAUCCUCCUCCUAAUCUGGAGGCCAAGGGAGCCCAGGGGAUGUGGUCACAGCCGGAGCCUAGAGCCAGGUAGACAACAAUUGGGGGAGCCAGGUGGGGACAGGGAACCACCAACUCCAUCCCUGCCUUAGAACCUUCCACCUUGUCAGACAGGGACCCCACGUCACCCCAGCAUCUCCUCAGAUCUCCUCUUGGCCUGUCCCCACCUGAUACCUAACCCAGGACCCGGUUUCUUCCCCUCUCUUCUCUGCAGAGGUUUUCGAAGGCACCAGGCUCGCUGCUCAACAGGCCCUGCCCUCCAUGAGGUUGUCUCUGCCCAAAUCUCCCCCUCAGCUGACCGCAGUCCUCCAGAGGCCAAGCAGAGAGCUGCUGCCCGUUGGCCCCUUGGUUUCCUCCCCUCUCGAAGGGUCUCCUUCCCACGGCCCCUGGGAGCCUGUCUUUCCUCUGACCCUGUGACAGGAAGAGUCCCCAAACCUCAUCCCGCCCAGGUCACUGAGUGAUACAGGCAUGCAGAGGCCCCACGGUCUACCCAGUUCAGUGUCUCCCAGGUCAGUGUGAGGCUUGACCUCACCACACAAGGUGUCCCCUCCCCUGUCCCACAACUGUGACUUCAGGAGCAAGAUGCACUCAGGUAGACCACACACUGUUCUGUGAGAAUGAAACCCAAGCCGCUUGCUAGGAGCCCCAUAUCUGUGUUUAUUUUACAUCAAAUACAUAUGAUUCCCCGCUUUUGUGACCCCACCUGACCCCGUUCCUUCCGGGUCUGCUCUCCAUCGGACCCGGGUUGCAUGCUUGAGUGUGGGCCUUGCCAACGGCCUCAGACUGGCUGAGCCUCUGCAGAUGACCCUCCCCUGGGCCCGACGUUGCCUUUGUGCCUACUCGGGGUAGUGCUAGGUGGUCCCAAAUGGGCCACGCCUGGGGCUCUCAAGUCCUAAAGUCAGCUGGCAUUGACCCUUCCAGCCACCUAAGUGCAGAGCUCCCAGGGUCAGGGCUGGCUGCCCCAGGCACCUGUGGGCGUGGCCCCUGACGGGUGGGCCUCCCUUCACGCGGUGCUGGAGAGCAGGGGAGCCUGGUUCAGCCUUGACUCUCCCUCUAUCCCUCCCCUUUACUCCAUCCUGCAGCCAUGUUCCAGAAAGUGCCGUGUGCUUGACUGCUUGGGUCUCGUGAAUCUCACAGUCCUGCCAAGGCCUGGCCGCUGGCCCUCCCUGGCUGCCCUUUCCCGGGGGUUCUCAGGUCCUCAGCAACAUCCCUCACUCCCUCCGUGGCCAGCAGCCUGAUCCCUGCUUUUCCUCUGUUCUCAUCGGGGAUUCUUGAUCGGGGUGUGUGCUCACUCGUUCCCACGCAGCAUGUGCCUCUCACACCCAUCGAGUGCUGGGCCCCGUGCUCACUCCAGGGGUUCCUGCGGAGCUCAGGCCCUGCUGUCUAAUCAGCAGGGAGGGCCAGGGAGAUGGAGGCCUUCCCAUGGGGUCCCGCGGCCCACCAGGCCCUAAGACUCGUGUGUAGAGGGGUGUGAGAACCCGAUAGGGGGCAGAAGGGCUGCGGAUCGAGGCAUGAAAGCUGAUGGGCGAUCCCAGGGCUCUGGUCGGGGAGAGGUUAGCAGGGGUGGGGACAGGCAAGAGCAAAAUGGAGCAGGCCGCCAGGGCUCCCUGCAUUCCCAGGACUGCCUGUGUGCCUGUGACAGGGCAGGCUCAGCUGAGGCACCAGCCCCACCCACAGGGAGAUGCCAUUCAGGGCCGCGUACCACGCGGGCUCUCAGAACUCAAAAUUACCGUCGUGCCUGUCAGUGGCAGAGAGCCCUUUGAUAACAAGGGUAAACGCAAAGGUGCCGGUGUUCCAUGCUAUGGAUGAUCGGGAGUCGGCGGGAUUUGAUGCCAUUUUUUGAUGUUCUGGGCUGGGAUCUAUCUGUGAUCAAGUCCUGCCUCUGCGAGGGACAGCCGAUGGGCCAGAAACACGAGGAACGUCAGAGGAAGGGACCCAGUCCCACUCGAGGCCUCUGCCAACAUGAGGCAGCCCUGGGAGAGAGAGAAGGCGAGUGAGCCUGUGUCAGCAGCUGGUCCACCCUCCACCCAGCUGCUUAUGAGCCAAGAGGAGAGAGGUGACUGGUAGUGUGUCCCGGAGCAAGGCCUGCCCAGGCCUGUGCACGCUGAGAGAGCAGGAGGCAACAAGAACAAGAAAAACACCCAAACUGGACAUCGCCACUCAGCCCAGCCAGCGACUGACCUGUUAGUCAGCAGCUUUUUCCCUCGAGGGCGCUCGGAAGGGGCUCCCAAGUUCUAGAGGUUGGGAAGUCCAAGAUUGAGGCGUUGGCAGAUCCAUUGUCUGGUGAGUUCGUACCUGGUGCCUUCUUGGUGUGUCCUUAUACAGUAGAAAGGGCGAGGAGAUCUCUGGGGUCCCUCUCAUAAGGGCGCUAAUCCCAUUCAUGAGGGCUCCAUUCUCAUGACCGAACCACCUCCCAAAGGCCCCACCUCCUAAUGCCAUCACACUGGGGCUAGGUUUCAACAGAGGAGUUUGAGGGGACACAGACAUUCAGUUCAUAGCACAAAGUGACAGAGUUAAGCUGCAGAGAUGGGAAUUUCUGUCUGAGGAAAAUCUGAUCACUUUGGGGACAUCCCCCGGUUCUGUGAUCCUUGACACCGUUAUGAAGGACUGUCUGUCAUUCUUCCAGAGAGAGCCUCUCCCUGCCCCAGUCUCUCCCUCGGAUUUCUGCGUCUGCCCAGGCCCUGAGUCCAUCCUUGCCUCCUGCCUGGCAGUGCAGGGCAGCCUAGGGGAAAGGGCGGACAGGAGGAGCAGAGAUGACAAGCAGAAAGAAACAGGCAGGAGUGGGGUCUGGCCUGCAGACAGAUGAGGCACGAGGGAUGAGAAAGACUCCCUCCUUGACCCAACUUGUUAUCUGAACCUCAUCUCAAUUAGGCCUUGAUUUUUUGGCUUCCAUGUCUGCCUUUGCAUCACCCAGUUUUAGCAAAAAUCCCAUCAAGUCGGUUUAGCCAGAAUCUCCACCCUCGAUAUUUGAUCACCCUCCAUAUCUGAUCGAAGUCUCCCCACGCCACCCCCAGGAGAGUUCUGGUCACCCUGGCCUGCCUUCAGCAAGAAUCCAGUCGGGUCUGUUUAACCAGAGUCCCCCAAACCCUACCCCUGAUGUUUCUCUUAGUGAUUUUCCAUCCGCUGACUUCCUCCCACCUGCUCCUUGGCUGUGAAUCCGCACUCGUCCUUGCCGUAUGUGGAAUUGAGUCCAGUUCUAUUCUGAGGUCUCUUUUCCCCUAUUGCAUUAGAUCUUAAAUAAAAUCUGCUUUAGCCACUUUAA